rnacentral:lncRNA from 1 species
AAAGUUUUCAUGGAAGAUGGAGGCGCACGCGUGUGUGCGAGAGAAAAAGAGCGCGCAAAAGAAUGCAGAGACGAGGGAAACUAGAAGUAAUUAGAUUUCAGCCACUUAGCCGCCGGCGUCGAAGCGAGAUUUGCACAGCUGCAGGAACACCUCACCAUCAAGCAUGCCUCUUCUCGCCUUCUCCGACCAAGUGCCUACUCGAGAGUCGAGAGGGGUGCGGCCGUG